CAGUAGCCGCGGUAAUACGUAGGGUGCAAGCGUUAAUCGGAAUUACUGGGCGUAAAGCGUGCGCAGGCGGUUAUAUAAGACAGAUGUGAAAUCCCCGGGCUCAACCUGGGAACUGCAUUUGUGACUGUAUAGCUAGAGUACGGCAGAGGGGGAUGGAAUUCCGCGUGUAGCAGUGAAAUGCGUAGAUAUGCGGAGGAACACCGAUGGCGAAGGCAAUCCCCUGGGCCUGUACUGACGCUCAUGCACGAAAGCGUGGGGAGCAAACAGGAUUAGAUACCCCAUAGUCCCUGUCUCUUAUACA
rnacentral:rRNA from 1 species